rnacentral:rRNA from 1 species
UACGUAGGUGGCAAGCGUUGUCCGGAUUUACUGGGUGUAAAGGGCGUAUAGCCGGGCCGGCAAGUCAGAUGUGAAAUCCCAAGGCUCAACCUUGGAACUGCAUUUGAAACUGUUGGUCUUGAGUAUUGGAGAGGCAGGCGGAAUUCCUAGUGUAGCGGUGAAAUGCGUAGAUAUUAGGAGGAACACCAGUGGCGAAGGCGGCCUGCUGGACGACAACUGACGGUGAGGCGCGAAAGCGUGGGGAGCAAACAGG